GCCAGUGUAGUGUAGUGGUUUGAGUGUUGGACUGCAACUCUUGAGACCAGGGUUCAGUUCCUUGCUUGGCCA